rfam:Schistosoma mattheei strain Denwood, Zambia genome assembly, scaffold: SMTD_scaffold0008314
ACCCAGCUGAUGAGUCCCAAGUGGGGCGAAACGCGCGUCCUGGAU